UGGUACCUUUCUUUACACAUAUGAAAGAGCCAGAGAUAUAGAGAGAGAGGUUUCAUGGCUUGAAAGCAUGUGUUGGAUGUCCCCAUUAAAAAUCCAAGUCCCACGUCUUCAACUCAAAGCACUUCAAGUGGAUUCCAACUCCUCUUCAACCAUGGGUUCCCCCUUUCACCUAGUGGCCAUCCUUUUCACCACCUAACCUUAUAACUCAUUAAAAUUAAAAAAAAAAAAAAAAACCCCAAAAAAACUUUAAGAUUCUUUUUUAAUCUUCAGAGGUGGGCUAUCUCAAAUCCAACUGUCCAAUGGUGUAGCUCUAUGCUUCUGUUUGUGAGCAAUGAUCUUCUUUCCCCACUCUUUCAGUCCCUAAUAUCUUAAACGUGCAUAGAUUUCUUGUCCUUGUUUUUUAAUGUGUUUUUAAGGAUCAUUUAUUUGGUCUAUCACCCAAUUAGCCUAUGUUUCUGCUUUAAAAGCAAAAGCUUGCUCCUUUAACCUGUACUUUAAUAUCUGGUUUAAGAUAUAAUAAUC
rnacentral:lncRNA from 1 species